rnacentral:lncRNA from 1 species
AUGUCCUCAGACUCAGGAAUGCAUUCCUUCCAGGACCAGCAGACAUCUGUCAUCAUCGGGUCUCCUUAGCAACCUUUGUGUUUUAUGUACCCACAAGUGACCGCUGACACAGUUCCCUUCUAGGAGCUACACACAGAGCUGCCAUUGCCGGGGGAUUAGAAAAUUUUGGUGCUGUUGUUAUUCUUCUCUCCUAACUCCCUGCCUGACCUCUCACUCUCUUUUUCUUCAGCAUGUCCAGGCUGCCCUCUCACCCUCACUAUCAGCCAAUGCUUUGGAAAACCAUCAUGAUCUGAAAAUCAGAUGUCCAGUGGUCUCACCCCUGCAAGGUUGCUGUGGCUGGCUGGCUGGCUGCUUUGUUGGGGUCCCACAUCAGGAAGAGAUACCUGUAGCCCACAGGCACUGUGGGCAGCAGCUUUGCCUUUCAUGUCUUCAUUCGUCAACCUUCAUUGUCUUUUACAGAUUAAUUUCUCCAUUUCCUCAAUUAACACCAAUUGAUGAGCACUGAACCAGGUUUCAAACUGAAUAUAGUCAGUCCUCUGUAUCUGAAAAUUCCACAUUUAUGGAUUUUUAAAAAUUCCAGAAAGUUCCAUUUUAUACAAGGGACUUGAGAAUCUGCAGAUUUUAAUAUCCACAGAAAGUCCUGGAAGUAAUCUGCCAAGGAUACCAAGGGACAACUGUACAAGCAGAAGCAGAUUUGCCAUGAAGCUAAUGAAGGGUUCGUUCCUAUUGCCUUCUGGUUCUCCCAUCUGAGAACCAGCAUCGCCCAUCAUGUAAUUUUUCGACUGUUCCCCAACAGCGUGGAUGUGGGGACCAGCCUUCUGAAAUGCUGCUGCAAAGUUCUUUGUAGAGAAACGCACCUCCAUGUCUCAGCUCUCUGUAAUUCAAUAACUUUGAACAUUUUGGUUCACUUCAUUCUGAUUUUAGAAUCUAGAAAUGCAAUGGAAGACAUUUCAAAGCUGGGCAUUUGGUCUUCUGUUGCAAGAGCGCAGUAGCACCCCCAGAGAAAUAUUUUUCAAGGCUGCAGAG